GGUCAGGUGUCCGAGUGGUCGAAGGAGCACGCCUGGAAAGUGUGUAUACGGCAACGUAUCGAGGGUUCGAAUCCCUCCCUGACCGCCA
rnacentral:tRNA from 1 species